GAUGAACGCUGGCGGCGUGCCUAAUACAUGCAAGUCGAACGCAUAGCGAAAGGUGCUUGCCCCUUUCAAGUGAGUGGCGAACGGGUGAGUAACACGUGGACAACCUGCCUCAAGGCUGGGGAUAACAUUUGGAAACAGAUGCUACUACCGAAUAAAACUUAGUGUCGCAUGACACAAAGUUAAAAGGCGCUUCGGCGUCACCUAGAGAUGGAUCCGCGGUGCAUUAGUUAGUUGGUGGGGUAAAGGCCUACCAAGACAAUGAUGCAUAGCCGAGUUGAGAGACUGAUCGGCCACAUGGGGACUGAGACACGGCCCAAACUCCUACGGGAGGCUGCAGUAGGGAAUCUUCCACAAUGGGCGAAAGCCUGAUGGAGCAACGCCGCGUGUGUGAUGAAGGCGUUCGGGUCGUAAAGCACUGUUGUAUGGGAAGAACAGCUAGAAUAGGAAAUGAUUUUAGUGUGACGGUAACAGACCAGAAAGGGACGGCUAAAUACGUG
rnacentral:rRNA from 1 species